rnacentral:lncRNA from 1 species
GCUUAACACUAGCCACCCACACAUUGUAGCAAGAAGCAACUAGGUAAAAAAUGAAUCAUCUACUCCAUGCUUAGUUUAACUAAAAAAAAGAAUAGAGGUGUAUGUAUGUCUAAUGGCCAGUCCCGAAAGGUAAUGGCAGCAAUGCUGCUUCUCCAGGCGGAGGAAUAUAAGACUGCCAUCAGGUGGAGGAACUUUCUGAAAGGUUGAACUUUCUAAAAGAACCAUCAACACCCAAAGACUUUCUAUGUGACGUUUACUUAGAAAUUUACAAACAUGAUUGGUUUGCUCCAACAAGUUAAGGAGAUUAUCACCCAGAAAAAUCUCCAUCGUCACACCUAAUACUAGCCACUCCUUGUUGCUGGGUAGAAAACAACAUGUCUUCUCUGAUUCUCAGUUUCAAUAAAAAACCAAAAGAAUAAAGGAAUAUGCAUGUCUCAUGUUCAAUUCCAAAAGGUAACAGCAACAACAUUGCUUCCUCAGGCAAUAGAACAUGAGACUGUUUCUAGGUCGAAGUACUUCCUUACAGUAUUGCACUUUCAAAAGAAACAUUAACAUCCAAAGACUUUCUUUGUGACAUUCACUUACAAUAAAC